rfam:Mus musculus chromosome 18, GRC primary reference assembly.
UCCAAGGCUUUAAUUAAAGCCACAAUUUUUUAAAAAUGAAAUAUAU